ACUGAGACACGGUCCAUACUCCUACGGGAGGCAGCAGUGAGGAAUCUUCCACAAUGGACGAAAGUCUGAUGGAGCGACACCGCGUGAAGGAUGAAGGCCUAACGGUUGUAAACUUCUUUUCUGAAGGAGCAUAAUGAGAGUACUUCAGGAAUAAGGGACGGCUAAAUACGUGCCAGCAGCCGCGGUAAUACGUAUGUCUCGAGCGUUACCCGGAAUCACUGGGUGUAAAGGGUUCGUAGGUUGUUUAAUAAGUUGGAUAUGAAAGACCGGAGCUCAACUUCGUGUUUGUGUUCAAAACUGUUAAACUAGAAUCAGGGAGAGGUAAGUAGAAUUCUAAGUGUAGGGGUGCAAUCCGUAGAUACUUAGAGGAAUACCAAAAGCGAAGGCAACUUACUGGAACUGUAUUGACGCUGAGGAACGAAAGCGUGGGGAGCGAACAGGAUUAGAUACCCUGGUAGUCCACGCCCUAAACGAUGAUAACUAAGUGUUGCUCCUAGAGGGCAGUGCUGAAGCUAACGCGAUAAGUUAUCCACCUGAGGAGUACGGUCGCAAGAUUAAAACUCAAAGGAAUAGACGGGGACCCACACAAGCAGUGGAUCACGUGGUUUAAUUCGACAAUAAACGGGGAAUCUUACCCAGACUUGACAUCCUAAGAAUCUUUCAGAAAUGAGAGAGUGCCUUUAUUGGAGCUUAGUGACAGGUGCUGCAUGGUUGUCGUCAGCUCGUGCCUUGAGGUGUUCGGUUAAGUCCGUUAACGAGCGCAACCCAUGUCCUUAGUUAUUAUGUCUAAGGAGACUGCCUUGGUUAACAAGGAGGAAGGUGUGGAUGACGUCAAAUCAGCAUGGCUUUUACGUCUGGGGCUACACACAUGAUACAAUGGUAUGUACAAAGAGCAGCGAUAUGGUAACAUUGAGCGAAUCUUAAAAGCAUAUCUCAGUCCGGAUUGAGGUCUGAAACUCGACCUCAUGAAGUUGGAAUCGCUAGUAAUCGUGAAUCAGAUAUGUCACGGUGAAUAUGUUCCUGGGUCUUGUACUCACCGCCCGUCAUGGCAUGGGAGGAGAUAAUAUUGGAAGCCCCUCUAGUAAUAAGAGGGUCCAUAGUAGGAUUUCUGACUGGGCUAAAGUCGUAACAAGGUAUCCGUAGGAGAACCUGCGGAUG
rnacentral:rRNA from 1 species